GACGAACGCUGGCGGCGUGCCUAAUACAUGCAAGUUGAGCGCUGAAGGUUGGUACUUGUACCAACUGGGUGAGCAGCGCACGGGUGAGUAACGCGUGGGGAAUCUGCCUUUGAGCGGGGGACAACAUUUGGAAACGAAUGCUAAUACCGCAUAAAAACUUUAAACACAAGUUUGAAGUUUGAAAGAUGCAAUUGCAUCACUCAAAGAUGAUCCCGCGUUGUAUUAGCUAGUUGGUGAGGUAAAGGCGCACCAAGGCGAUGAUACAUAGCCGACCUGAGAGGAUGGUCGGCCGCCCUGGGACUGUGACACGGCCCAAACGCCUUCGGGAGGCAGCAGUAGGGAAUCUUCGGCAAUGGACGAAAGUCUGACCGAGCAACGCCGCGUGAGUGUAGAAGGUUUUCGGGUCGUAAAACUCUGUUUGUAGGGAAGAACGUUGGUGAGAGUGGAAAGCUCAUCAAGUGACGGUAACUACUCAGAAAGGGACGGCUAACUACGUG
rnacentral:rRNA from 1 species